rnacentral:rRNA from 1 species
AUUGAACGCUGGCGGCAGGCCUAACACAUGCAAGUCGAGCGGAGCGGCGGACGGGUGAGUAAUGCCUAGGAAUCUGCCUGGUAGUGAGGGAUCACGUCGGGAAACGUGCGCUAAUACCGCAUACUAUCAGAUGAGCCUAGGUCGGAUUAGCUAGUUGGUGGGGUAAAGGCCUACCAAGGCGACGAUCCGUAACUGGUCUGAGAGGAUGAUCAGUCACACUGGAACUGAGAAACGGUCCAGACUCCUACGGGCGGCAGCAGUAGGGAAUCUUGGACAAUGGGCGAAAGCCUGAUCGAGCAAUGCCGCGUGUGUGAAGAAGGUUUUCGGAUUGUAAAGCACUUUAGGUUGAGAGGCGUUACCAAACGAAUAAGCACCGGCUAACUUCGUGCCAGCAGCCGCGGUAAUUC